GUGGUCAGUACUUGGAUGGGUGACCGCCUGGGAACACCGCGUGACGUUGGCUU
rnacentral:rRNA from 1 species